rnacentral:tRNA from 1 species
AAGACUCUAGUAAAGUAGCCAUUACGCUGCUUUGUCAAAGCAGCAUCGCGGGUUAGAGCCCCGCGGGUCUUA